rnacentral:rRNA from 1 species
UACAGAGGUCUCAAGCGUUGUUCGGAUUCAUUGGGCGUAAAGGGCGCGUAGGCGGCCAACUAAGUCAGACGUGAAAUCCCUCGGCUCAACCGGGGAACUGCGUCUGAUACUGGAUGGCUUGAAUUCGGGAGAGGGAUGCGGAAUUCCAGGUGUAGCGGUGAAAUGCGUAGAUAUCUGGAGGAACACCGGUGGCGAAGGCGGCAUCCUGGACCGAGAUUGACGCUGAUGCGCGAAAGCCAGGGGAGCAAACGGG